rnacentral:rRNA from 1 species
UAUAAAUAUCUUAAUUUAUUUUUUAUGUUGUUAUUUAUUUUUAAUAAAAAUAAUUUUUUAUUUUUUAUUUUUAGUAUAUUUUAUAGAAAAAAUUUUAUUUUUUAUAGUUUAUUUAUACUGUGAAGGUUAGUUGAAAUAUUUUGAAAUAUAUUUUAUUUUAAAAGUUUAUUUAAAUUAUAUUACCUUUUGUAUCAGGGUUUAUUAAAAAUAUAUUAUUUAUAUAAUAUUCUCGAUUUAAGGAAGAGUUAAUAUAUUAUUUUAGUUAACAUUAUAUAGUUAUUAAAUAUAAUAUAUUUGUAAUGAAAUGUUAUUCGUUUCUUAAGAUAUCUAGUUUUUCAAGAACUAAAUUUAAUUUAUUUAUUUGGGAGUAAAUUUAUUAUUUAAUAUUUAUUUAUUUUUAAAUGAAAAUAUUUUGGGGGAUAAGCUCUGGAAUAUUUAUAUAUAAAAUUUUAUAUUUAAUUUUAUUGGUUGUAGGCUUUAAAUUAGCUUUCAUUUUGAUUUUGUUAUAAAUUUACUAAUUUAUAUUUAAAAUUUUAUAUUUUUUUUAUGUUUUGUAUUGAAAUGAAUUUAUUAAUUUUUUAUAAUUUGUAAUAAUGAUUAAAUUAGUAUAAUUUUAUGUAUAAUAUUUAUUUUAUGUUAAUUUAUUAUAAGGAACUAGGCAAAUUUUUAAUGCUCGCCUGUUUAUCAAAAACAUGUUUUUUUGUAUUAUAAUUUAAGAUUUGGCCUGCCCACUGAUUUUAAUUUGAAGGGCCGCGGUAUUUUGACCGUGCAAAGGUAGCAUAAUCAUUAGUCCUCUAAUUGUGGACUGGAAUGAAUGGUUUGACGAGGUAUUAACUGUCUCUUGAUGAUAAUUUGAAUUUAACUUUUAAGUUAGAAGGCUUAAAUGAUUUUAUAGGACGAGAAGACCCUAUAGAGCUUAAUAAUUAUAUAUUUAAUAUAUUUUUGGAUUAAUUAUUUUAUUAAAUAUAUAAUUAUUUUAUUGGGGUGAUAUGAAGAAUUAAUAAACUCUUUAUUUUGAAGAACAUUGAUUUAUGAUUGAUUGAUCCAUUAUUAAUGAUUAUAAGAUUAAGUUACCUUAGGGAUAACAGCGUUAUUUUUUUUGAGAGUUCUUAUCAACAAAAAAGAUUGCGACCUCGAUGUUGGAUUAAGGUAAAUAUUGGGUGUAGAAGUUCAAUAAUUAGGUCUGUUCGACCAUUAAAUCCUUACAUGAUCUGAGUUCAGACCGGUGUAAGCCAGGUCGGUUUCUAUCCUUAAUUAAUUAAAUAUAUUUUAGUACGAAAGGACCAAAUAUUUAAAAAACUUUUAGUAUUUAUGAAUAAUAAUAAUUUAUUUUA